rnacentral:lncRNA from 1 species
CUAGUUUGGUUGGUUGACUUUUGUUUUGACCUCUGUUUUAUUUCAAUUAAUUCAAUAACCAAUUUUUUUUAUUUUUAAAACCUUUUUGGGGGAUGAUGAUGUCCUGACCCCACCUCAUUUAGUUUAACUUUUCAUAAUUUUCUUGAUUAAUUUGCUAUUUAUUUCAUAUUUUUUAAUUUGACUCGAAAUUUCAGUUGACUUUC